ACGGAAGGCAGCAGUGGGGAAUAUUGCACAAUGGGCGAAAGCCUGAUGCAGCGACGCCGCGUGAGCGAAGAAGUAUUUCGGUAUGUAGAGCUCUAUCAGCAGGGAAGAUAAUGACGGUACCUGACUAAGAAGCACCGGCUAAAUACGUGCCAGCAGCCGCGGUAAUACGUAUGGUGCAAGCGUUAUCCGGAUUUACUGGGUGUAAAGGGAGCGCAGGCGGUACGGCAAGUCUGAUGUGAAAGCCCGGGGCUCAACCCCGGUACUGCAUUGGAAACUGUCGAACUAGAGUGUCGGAGGGGUAAGUGGAAUUCCUAGUGUAGCGGUGAAAUGCGUAGAUAUUAGGAGGAACACCAGUGGCGAAGGCGGCUUACUGGACGAUAACUGACGCUGAGGCUCGAAAGCGUGGGGAGCAAACAGGAUUAGAUACCCUGGUA
rnacentral:rRNA from 1 species